ensembl:lncRNA
GUAUGGAGUACGCAGGUGCUGUGCCUGUAAACGGUGUCUUGGAAUUGUAUGGAGUACGCGGGUGCUGCGCCUGUAAACGGUGUCUAGGAAUUGUAUGGAAUCAGUGUAUCCAUGUUUUGUUUGUCAACAUGUAGGCAUUGCUGUAGUGUGCAUACAAUUGUAUGAGUCACAUCUUGAGGAAACAGUACUGUAAUAAACAAAUACUUGUGCAAUCUAACUCAGUGGUGUGCCUUGAUUCAUCAUUACCAAGAUACAGAUCCCACUUGAAGCUAAGUGCAACAGGUAGGUGUGCAGGUAAGGUAGCCUUAGAGGGACUAAAAGUGAAUGUGGUUCAGUAGGCAGCAAAGAGGGUGGCGGUUGGGGUUAGGCAACGGGUUAGGGUUAGGCAACGGGUUAGGGUUAGGCAACGGGUUAGGGUUAGGCAACGGGUUAGGCAACGGGUUAGGCAACGGGUUAGGGUUAGGCAACGGGUUAGGGUUAGGCAACGGGUUAGGGUUAGGCAACGGGUUAGGGUUAGGGUUAGGGUUAGGCAACGGGUUAGGGUUAGGCUUAGGGUUAGGCAACGGGUUAGGCAACGGGUUAGGCAACGGGUUAGGCAACGGGUUAGGCAACGGGUUAGGCAACGGGUUAGGGUUAGGGUUAGGCAACGGGUUAGGGUUAGGGUUAGGGUUAGGGUUAGGGUUAGGGUUAGGGUUAGGGUUAGGGUUAGGGUUAGGGUUAGGGUUAGGGG